GAUGAACGCUAGCUACAGGCUUAACACAUGCAAGUCGAGGGGCAGCAUGACGAUAGCUUGCUAUUGUUGAUGGCGACCGGCGCACGGGUGAGUAACGCGUAUCCAACCUGCCCUUGUCCACCGGAUAACCCGUCGAAAGGCGGACUAACACGGUAUGCAGUCCACAGCAGACAUUUAACGUGGACGAAAUGUGAAGGAGAAGGAUGGGGAUGCGUCUGAUUAGCUUGUUGGCGGGGUAACGGCCCACCAAGGCGACGAUCAGUAGGGGUUCUGAGAGGAAGGUCCCCCACAUUGGAACGGAGACACGGUCCAAACUCCUACGGGAGGCAGCAGUGAGGAAUAUUGGUCAAUGGGCGAGAGCUUGAACCAGCCAAGUAGCGUGCAGGAAGACGGCCCUAUGGGUUGUAAACUGCUUUUAUACGGGGAUAAAGUGAGUCACGUGUGGCUUAUUGCAGGUACCGUAUGAAUAAGGACCGGCUAAUUCCGUGCCAGCCGCCGCUGUAA
rnacentral:rRNA from 1 species